CAGCAGCCGCGGUAAUACCGGCGGCCCGAGUGGCGGUCACUCUUAUUGGGCUUAAAGCGUCCGUAGCCGGGUUGGGAAGUCCUCCGGGAAAUCUGGCCGCUUAACGGUCAGAAUGCCGGAGGAUACUCCCAGCCUAGGGAGCGGGAGAGGCCGAGGGGAUUCCCGGGGUAGGGGUGGAAUCCUAUAAUCCCGGGAGGCCCACCAGUGGCGAAGGCGCUCGGCUGGAACGCGUCCGACGGGGAGGGGCGAAGGCCAGGGGAGCAAACCGGAUUAGAUACCCGGGUAGUCCCGGCUGUAAACGAUGCGGGCUUUGUGUCGGGCAAGCUAUGAGCUCACCCGGUGCCGCAGGGAAGCCGUUAAGCCCGCCGCCUGGGGAGUACGGCCGCAAGGCUGAAACUUAAAGGAAUUGGCGGG
rnacentral:rRNA from 1 species